GCGUGUGUGAUGAAGGCCCUAGGGUUGUAAAGCACUUUCGCCGGUGACGAUGAUGACGGUAGCCGGAUAAGAAGCCCCGGCUAACUCCGUGCCAGCAGCCGCGGUAAUACGGAGGGGGCGAGCGUUGUUCGGAAUUACUGGGCGUAAAGGGCGCGUAGGCGGCGGUGUCAGUCGGGCGUGAAAGCCCCGGGCUCAACCUGGGAUGUGCGUUCGAUACUGCAUUGCUUGAGAGCGGAAGAGGGUAGUGGAAUUCCCAGUGUAGAGGUGAAAUUCGU
rnacentral:rRNA from 1 species